CCUACGGGUGGCAGCAGUGAGGACUAUUGGUCAAUGGGCGCGAGCCUGAACCAGCCAAGUCGCGUGAGGGAUGAAGGUUCUAUGGAUCGUAAACCUCUUUUAUAAGGGAAUAAAGUGUGGGACGUGUCCUAUUUUGUAUGUACCUUAUGAAUAAGGAUCGGCUAACUCCGUGCCAGCAGCCGCGGUAAUACGGAGGAUCCGAGCGUUAUCCGGAUUUAUUGGGUUUAAAGGGUGCGUAGGCGGGAUUUUAAGUCAGCGGGGAAAGUCUGUGGCUCAACCAUAGAAUAGCCGUUGAAACUGGGGGGCUUGAGGAUGUUUGAGGCAGGCGGAAUGCGUGGUGUAGCGGUGAAAUGCUUAGAUAUCACGCAGAACCCCGAUUGCGAAGGCAGCAUGCC
rnacentral:rRNA from 1 species